rnacentral:rRNA from 1 species
UACAGAGGUCCCAAGCGUUGUUCGGAUUCACUGGGCGUAAAGGGUGCGUAGGUGGUCGGGUAAGUCUGAGGUGAAAUCUCCGAGCUCAACUCGGAAACUGCCUUGGAUACUAUCCGGCUUGAGGGUUGGAGGGGGGACUGGAAUUCUCGGUGUAGCAGUGAAAUGCGUAGAUAUGUGGAGGAACACCGAUGGCGAAGGCAGCCCCCUGGGUUAACACUGACGCUCAUGCACGAAAGCGUGGGGAGCAAACAGG